AGAGCGAACGCUGGCGGCAGGCCUAAUACAUGCAAGUCGAACGGACCCUUCGGGGUUAGUGGCGGACGGGUGAGUAACACGUGGGAACGUGCCCUUUGGUUCGGAACAACUCAGGGAAACUUGAGCUAAUACCGAAUGUGCCCUUCGGGGGAAAGAUUUAUCGCCAUUGGAGCGGCCCGCGUCUGAUUAGCUAGUUGGUGGGGUAAAGGCUCACCAAGGCGACGAUCAGUAGCUGGUCUGAGAGGAUGAUCAGCCACACUGGGACUGAGACACGGCCCAGACUCCUACGGGAGGCAGCAGUAGGGAAUCUUGCGCAAUGGGCGAAAGCCUGACGCAGCCAUGCCGCGUGAAUGAUGAAGGUCUUAGGAUUGUAAAAUUCUUUCAGCGGGGACGAUAAUGACGGUACCCGCAGAAGAAGCCCGGCUAACUCGUGCCAGCAGCCGC
rnacentral:rRNA from 1 species